AAGAAUGGGAGGAGGGA
rnacentral:miRNA from 1 species